UACGUAGGCAGCGAGCGUUGUUCGGAGUUACUGGGCGUAAAGGGUGUGUAGGCGGUUCUUUAAGUUUGGUGUGAAAUCUCCCGGCUCAACCGGGAGGGUGCGCCGAAUACUGAGGGACUAGAGUGUGGGAGAGGAAAGUGGAAUUCCUGGUGUAGCGGUGAAAUGCGUAGAUAUCUGCAGGAACACCCGUGGCGAAAGCGGCGCGCUGGACCACUACUGACGCUGAGGAACGAAAGCUAGGGGAGCAAACAG
rnacentral:rRNA from 1 species